GACGAACGCUGGCGGCGUGCUUAACACAUGCAAGUCGAACGGAAAGGCCCUGCUUUUGUGGGGUGCUCGAGUGGCGAACGGGUGAGUAACAUGUGAGUAACCUGCCCUUGACUUUGGGAUAACUUCAGGAAACUGGGGCUAAUACCGGAUAGGAGCUCCUGCUGCAUGGGGGGGGUUGGAAAGUUUCGGCGGUUGGGGAUGGACUCGCGGCUUAUCAGCUUGUUGUUGGGGUAGUGGCUUACCAAGGCUUUGACGGGUAGCCGGCCUGAGAGGGUGACCGGCCACAUUGGGCCUGAGAUACGGCCCAGACUCCUACGGGAGGCAGCAGUGCGGAAUAUUGCACGAUGGGCGGAAGCCUGAUGCAGCAACGCCGCGUGCGGGAUGACGGCCUUCGGGUUGUAAACCGCUUUCGCCUGUGACGAAGCGUGAGUGACGGUAAUGGGUAAAGAAGCACCGGCUAACUACGUG
rnacentral:rRNA from 1 species